AUUGAACGCUGGCGGCAGGCCUAACACAUGCAAGUCGAGCAGAUGAAGGGAGCUUGCUCCUGGAUUCAGCGGCGGACGGGUGAGUAAUGCCUAGAAAUCUGCCUGGUAGUGGGGGAUAACGUCCGGAAACGGGCGCUAAUACCGCAUACGUCCUGAGGGAGAAAGUGGGGGAUCUUCGGACCUCACGCUAUCAGAUGAGCCUAGGUCGGAUUAGCUAGUUGGUGGGGUAAAGGCCUACCAAGGCGACGAUCCGUAACUGGUCUGAGAGGAUGAUCAGUCACACUGGAACUGAGACACGGUCCAGACUCCUACGGGAGGCAGCAGUGGGGAAUAUUGGACAAUGGGCGAAAGCCUGAUCCAGCCAUGCCGCGUGUGUGAAGAAGGUCUUCGGAUUGUAAAGCACUUUAAGUUGGGAGGAAGGGCAGUAAGUUAAUACCUUGCUGUUUUGACGUUACCAACGGAAUAAGCACCGGCUAACUUCGUG
rnacentral:rRNA from 1 species